CCGGCCGCUGGGAGGGCGGGAUGGCGUGAACAGGCCACGCCCUUCCUGUUGCGAUAAGCCCUGCCCUUCAACCAACCUCUGAGAGCUGAAUGUCAGAGCGGGGUCUCCUAUCCUCGGUCGCAGGGGCAUCAGACUCUGAGCUGCAGGAGAGGGAGGAGGAGGAGGAGUUAGGCUGAGUUUUAUUUUGAAAACCAGAAGCACAGGAAGUUCAGAUUCAGAAUGAAGAGUUACGGGUGUCUGAAGAGAAAAGGUGCUACACGUGAUAAAGAGCAAUUUCAGCUGUGACAACAAAAUGAGGCCAUUUUGCUUUUGAGGAAACUCAGUUUGUGAGACAGCAUCAGAUAUUUAAGGUUUUUACCUUUUUCACCUUCAGUGGUCAGGUGCGUUUAGAUGCAGCCUAAAUUCAGUGUUUAUAACAAAAAAAAAAACAAAAUAGAUGCAUGUUGUAAGUUUGUACAAACUAGUUAAAAUCGACUUCAGCUGCACCCAACAAAUCUGGGCUUAAUAUAAAUAAACGUGAAAUCAGUUUUAAUUAAUUUUUCAAAAACCAAUCUCAACUGACCAAACUUGUAAAUUCUAAAUCCUGAAUACUGCUAAAAUGCAUAAACCCAAAAAAUAAAAAUAAAUAACAAACCCUCAAAAACAACAACAACAGAAAACCCUGUCAAUUCUAAAUUCUGACCACUUAGGAAACUUGUAACCUCAAAAUCUCCAAAACUGGUAAAACUAUUAAUCCUGAAAACUAACUUUUGACCAGUGGUCAAAGUUGUAAACUUAAAGUCCUGAAAAUUUAUAAAAUGCAUACACUUUAAAUUCUGACCAUUCAAAAACUUGGAAACCACCCCUAAAAUGCAUUAACUCUAAAUCCUGAAAACUUGUAAACUUCAAAUUUUGAAAACUUGCCUUAAAAAAAAAAAAAAGUAAACUCUAAACUCAGACCACUCCUUAAACUUGUAAACAAUAUAUCCUGAAAUGCAAAAAAGUUUUGAACUCUAAAUCUUGGAAACUAGUAAAGCCCCUCAAUUCUAAAUCCAGACCACUUAUAAAACUGGUAAGUUUAAUCUAAAAGUCGGAUCUUUAACAAGUUUACAUUAAUUAUCCUCUGAAAAGUUUCUUCUAAGACAUACAAGCUUUUUUUUAUCACGACAGUAGUGACUCAGUGUUUUCAAGAGCAGAAUAUUCAUUCAGUCAGAGUUUCUGAGUGCGGGUGAAUGUGACUCCAAAACGUGAAAUCCACUGUUUUUUGUUUUUAAAUGUGACGACAGCUGCCAAAUAUCAUGAAAGACAAACAGCUAUGAAAUUAAAGUUUUCCAGUCGAAUAUUGUUGGAGUCAUGAAGUUAAGAACUAAGACACAUUUUGUCUUUCUGUGGAUCUGUGGUGUUUUGGAAUCAAAACAUUCAGCCGUAUGACGUGACUUGUGUCGAAGCUGAAAUAAGAAGAAAACAUUUACUUUGUGCUUUUAGCUGCUGCAGACCUGUAAGUGGACGUUAGUGAGAAGAGGAGAAGCAGGUUAACUGUUGUUAAAGUAGUGGUGAGUGUUCCAGGUCGUCAGAGGGUGAAAAGGCGAGAAGAGGAAGAGGAGGAGGAGGAGAUUGUUCUGGAAAACAUCUGAUCUGGCCAGAUGGAGGGAGGGAGGUGGAGGAAGAGGAGGGUGAAGCUGCACAGAGGUAUGAACCAAUCAGAGAGCGGGAGGCUGAAGGAAGGAGGGGCCAACCGGAGUGUUUCCAUGGUGACUGGGUGUCUGCGAUGCUGCUCAGGGGCCAGAAGUCGCUCACUCGCCGGUCCAUCUGCCAUGCUGCGUCUGGAGGGAGCCAACCAAGAAAGAGAUGCCAAGAAAAGAGUAACCAAUCAGAGGAGGGGAUGGAGACAGCGAGCGGACCUCAGCGUCCCUGGAGACAGGAUGUCCUCGUCCAUGUCGUCGAGGUCAUCGGAGAGGAGGAGGUGCUGAGGGGUGGGAGGUCUCAGGCCAAGGAAAGACGGGUCCAGGUUGAGGGCGGCAGCUAGCGCUCCCAGACCGGGGUUAUUGACCAGGCAGAAACCCGUCAGACACUCGAUCUGCUGCCAGCGGUGAAGCUUCUCCCGCAGCGCCGCCGUCACCUCGGCCAGGGCCUGUCUGAGGGGCGGGGUUAACAGGAGGAACCUCGGACAGUCAAAGGUGACUCACUUGGCGGAGAGAAUCUUGUGGUCGACGUCGUCCAGCGAGGAGCUGUGAGCUACAUGAAACGUUCCAAACAGAGAGCUCCUCUUCUUCUUGAUCUUCUCUGCCUAAAGCACCACAUCGGAUAU